CCAAUAGCGUAUAUUAAAGUUGUUGCAGUUAAAAAGCUCGUAGUUGAAUUUCGGGGUUCUACGGUCGGUCGGGCUACCAAGUCUGUACUGGUGUGUAGAACUUCUACUUUCUGGGGAACCAUCAUGUUAUUAAUUUAGCGUAGUGGGAAACCAGGACCUUUACCUUGAAAAAAUUAGAGUGUUCAAAGCAGGCUUACGUCUGAAUACAUUAGCAUGGAAUAAUAGAAUAGGACGGUGGUCCUGUUUUGUUGGUUUCUGAAUCACCGUAAUGAUUAAUAGGGAUAGUUGGGGGCAUUAGUAUUCAAUUGUCAGAGGUGAAAUUCUUGGAUUUAUUGAAGACUAACUUCUGCGAAAGCAUUUGCCAAGGAUGUUUUCAUUAAUCAAGAACGAAAGUUAGGGGAUCGAAGACGAUCAGAUACCGUCGUAGUCUUAACCAUAAACUAUGCCGACUAGGGAUCGGACGAUGUUAAAUUUUAUUGACUCGUUCGGCGCCUUACG
rnacentral:rRNA from 1 species